rnacentral:lncRNA from 1 species
GGGAGACACCGCUCUUGGGGAAGUUGGGCUGCAGCCCCCGCACGUGCUAGGAAGAUAAGUGAAGGUCCCAACACAUCCUGUCCCCUUAGAGCCCCUGGGGCCCAGCAGCCGGGCCCAGCAGCCCGACCCAGCGCCUAGAGCCCAUUCGCAGACAGCGCGCUGAGGCGGCUUGGGCGCCAUGCCCUUUGGGUUACUCAGCUCUUCAGCCUCCUGGAACGCUAGGACAAAGGAGUGCCUUGGUGCUGGCAGAAGCCGGGGGGCACAGCUGGGUUUUACAAGGAAGGACGAAAUCUCAUCUCAGCAAUCGGGAUAGAUCAACCGUUGCCCGUCUGAGGUGACCCAAUUCAGGGACCAGCCGCUUGGCUCUGAACACACACGUGUCACAACCCCAGCUCGUACCCAGGCCUUGCUAGAGCUCCAGGUUUAUGAGCCGUAACUCAGCAGAAGCCUAGCAUGAGAACAACUCAUCUGAAGCUCCAACAUUUGGGGAAUGCAACCUUUCGACAGACAUUUGCUGAAUGGAUAGGAGACUCCUGAAAGCAGAAUUCUGCACAUUCUGUGGACCAGCCCUGACUACGGAGAGCAGGUGUUAGCCAGUAUCCAUGCGCAGUGCCUCUUAGUCUUACCUGUCUGCUGCCUUACGCAAGCAUGGAGCUUAAUAUGCUAGCUGUGUUCUCCUAACCUCAGAUAUCUGUAAAACCAGCCACAGUAAGAUAACAUGGUAGAGCACAAAAUGCUUAGAAGAGAUUUAUUUGAAGCAAUGCUUCCCAGAAGUUUUUCAAUGCAGCUUAUGGCGAGAAACACAUUUUACAUCUCUACUCAGUACGCAGCCACUCAUACUCAACUGAAACAUCUUCUGAAACAAUAUUUCACUUCACUCUCUGCAAUACAGAAAAUACCAGAUCGUAUUGUAUGUUAUUUCAUUGUUUUAAAAUCCUGAGCCUAGCUUGCUAAUAGAUUACAACUCAGUUUGAAAAGCACAGGCUAAGGGGCUUCAAAUAGGGGUGACACAUUGAACACACACAUUUAUCACCUCUCCCUUCACAGAUCUCAUUAAAAUGAUAAUAAAGGAACAAAAUGGCAGAAAUCCACAAGGACAAACAGCAAACAAGAGGGACAUCAGCAGAUAGGCAACCUCAACAAGUAUAUCACAAUGAGUGACACACCCCCUAUAACAGCCAAUUUUGAUGGUCCUCCCAUAGCUCUUGCCUUAUUCUUUGUAAUAGGAUUCAGAUUGUUUAAAAUCCCCAUAUUCUACCGCAAAGUCAUGUUAUCAGGAAAGACCAACCCUAACCCCAGUUCCAUGGAGUAAAGAUUAAUUAAUCU